CUGUCGACCUGAAAACACACGCCGAGGCACUUCUUAAUGUGACUCUUGUGAACGAGGGAUCCUUCACUCAUUUGCGUAACUGCUCUGUUUGCAGGUGGGAUGUUCCUGAACUGGUGUCGUCAGCUUCAUCAUUCAGAAGGUGGGGAGGAUGGAUCUCUGCAGAAAGGUUCCGCCGCAUCCUACUUCCUGUCCUCACCCUCACCAGUGUCUCCAGGGAGAGCGGGAUCCGCUGGACAGAGCAGCCGGCAACGUCACUGCGGCGGGCAGGGCAGAGCGUCGUGCAAUUGUCCAGAACCUUCCAGUCUCUUCUGGUUCCUGCGGCCGCAAGCUUGUGCCUGAUGAACACGCCCGGUGUCAUCACUGGCAGUCCACCUUCCCUUCCGUCCACUUAAAGCCUGUAAAAGCCUGGAACUCUCUCCCUGCCUCUGUGCCUCACGUCCAGCUCAGGCGUGAACCCCCAGGCAGACUCGGAAAGCCACCCCUCGCUGCCUCUGCUCCUCCUCGCUUCAAUCUCCACCUGUCCCCAGAAUUCCCCCACCUUCCCUUACCCAAGUCAUUUUACAAGCGAAAAUAUCUCAAGCCUCCCUUUACUAAUUUAUCUAAUGAACAAAUUCAAGCAUGUCACAGGGACUCAUUAUUUUUGGAGGCA
rnacentral:lncRNA from 1 species